UACGUAGGGUGCGAGCGUUAAUCGGAAUUACUGGGCGUAAAGGGUGCGUAGGUGGUUGUUUAAGUCUGUUGUGAAAGCCCCGGGCUCAACCUGGGAAUGGCAAUGGAUACUGGACAGCUAGAGUGCGGUAGAGGGUAGUGGAAUUCCCGGUGUAGCAGUGAAAUGCGUAGAGAUCGGGAGGAACACCAGUGGCGAAGGCGGCUACCUGGACCAGCACUGACACUGAAGCACGAAAGCGUGGGGAGCAAACAGG
rnacentral:rRNA from 1 species